GUGUGUGGACCUGUGACUCUACAUGAAUGACUCAAGUGAAGAAACACGAGUGAAACCACUAUUUCAAAGGAAAAAGAAGAGGAAGAGGGGACAUCUUGAACAUUCGCAGUGGAACUUGAGUGCGCAUCUGCGCAAAGUCUCUCCAAAGUCACUUGGUAACUUGCGCGCACCACUGCAGCUCCAUUCUCAAGCAGUUUUGGGGGUCACGGCGAGGAGAGACUGUCGUCCGGCAGAAUGGCGUCAGACGUGGGCCGCAGCACUUGAGCUGCUGUACAUCAAUGAAGUGAAUGAAGAAUGAAGUGUAUCAUAGACACACCUGACAAGAAAAAAUCAGCAAUGUACUGGAAAUGAGGGUUUCUCUCAG
ensembl:lncRNA